rnacentral:rRNA from 1 species
UGUACGAACGCUGGCUGGCAGCGCUAACACAUGCAAGUCAGAGCGCGCCUUACGGGAUGAGCAGGCUGGACUGGGAUUAGAUAACAGCGUGUGGAUGCCUUCUCUACGGAAUAGCCUCUGGAAACGGAGAGUAAUACCGUAUACGCCCUUUGGAGGGAAAGAUUUAUCGGAGAAGGAUCGGCCCGCGAUUAGACUUAGGUACCUUGGCUGGGUGUAACUGGCCUACCAAUGCCUACGAUCUAUAGCUGGUUUUAGAGGAUGAUCAGCAACACUGGGACUGAGACACGGCCCAGACUCCUACGGGAGGCAGCAGUGGGGACUCUUAGACAAAUGGGGGCUACAUGCAUAACCCAUGCUGCGUUCGUGUGAAGGACAUAGGAUC